GUUAAUAUUUGUAUGAAAAAAAUUGCUUACUGAAAUUUUUUUGAUGCGUUUGUCAGGCUCCUGAUGUCAGGUGUAGCACAUGCAGGAUCCACAACAAAAAUUUGUUGUGAUGGAAGAUGAAGUUUGUGACCAUCACAUAAUUUUGGUGUUGGGACCUGUGCAAAAAAGGUUUUCAGAGGCAAACAACACCAGGAACAUCAGGGACACUAAAGGUGGUUUGUGCUGCUCUUUGCACCCCAGGUGUGGGCAUUUGAGGUGGAGCUCUGUAAAAGUGUGAUUUACCAGCACUUUUAUGUUUUUUUGUUGGCCGUUUUCCCCACCUCUCUUCUGCAAAAGCCACAUGACCUGAUGGCUUAUGAGGUCUAUUGAGAAGGUCUUCAGGAAGAUUGUUAUUCAUUAUGUGUUCCCUGUAACGUCCCUGCAAAGAUGUGUGCAUUGUCUGAAUGAAGUGUGCUGGCCGGACACAUGUUUUUUUUUGAAGAAUGCAUGUUUUCACAAUGCCAAACCAUUUUUCAACAUGACAGUUUGUGUCUCUGGUUUUGGAGUUUUCUGCGGAAGGAAGUAGUGACUCCAUGUCACAUGCGUAUCUUUUUAGAUCUCCGAGUAGAACCCCGCUCCAAAGUGGAUAGAUCCCCAGGUAAUUGUCCAGAAGGAACUUGAUUACAUCUGGACAAUAAUAAGGAUUUUCAACACUCUGAUGUUCUUCAUUUUCCAAGACAACCAUGACAUCAUCGUAGAUCUUCUUGAAAAGUUUGGAAAAUGGAGAACCACCAACAAUUGUUUUUGAUGAAUUUUCAUCCAUCUCCCACUUUUCUGAGUCAUCUUCUGUUUGGUCUUGAAGAAUAGCAUCUUCUUUUGUAAUGAGGCCCUCCAAGAAUUCAAGACUCUCUGUGACAUUUUUACUGACAUGUCUUGCGAGGAAAACAAUACAGAAGGGUCUGAAAAUGGCAAGGGCAUCAUCCACAUUAACAGUGUUUUGCAUCCUGGCAAAUACAUAUGUUGCCAUCUUUUGCAGCCCUUUGUCGUCUGUCUUCCUUUGAAAAGCUGAAGACACAGCUUUGAUGAUAUGAGCUGCACACAGGUGCAAAACUGUUGCUGAUUUUAUAUCUGCCCAGGUCUUUUGUUUUUGGCAGAUGGCAUACACCCUAUUAAGUUUGAGGAGAAACUGCAUCAGCCAGAAAGUUAUAGGAGGAAUGGAAUGCUCGCUUGAUAUCAUCUCGCAUACUGGAAGUGGAGGUGCAUCUCUUCCUUUACCUGGCAAGGCUGUGAGUGAUGUUACCAGCAAGAAGUUCCUGAAUGGGUGUAAGAUGUUUCCAGUCCGGCACACAGUUAAAGGAAUAACUGUUUGAUGUUUGGCUGGUUUGGUCUUCAUGGUGAAGGAAUACCUUGCACGGCAUGUUGAAAAUUUACAUUUUGCACAUAUUUUUAAGUACCCACACAUACGCUUCCGGCUCCCUAUUGCUCGGACAUGCUGGUAUGUAAAGCGGAGGGGACAACAAGGAUUUUUUUUCUUGAACUGAUUGUACAAGUAGUGGGUCCAUGGUUGUCUUAGUUUAUUGGAGCAUUUCAAAGGGCAAAUUUUGUUCCAUACCUUUGAAUGAAGAAAAACUUUAAAUUUAGUUGGUGUUUGUGGCACAUGUCUAUAAGUUUGGUCCCCUGUUUUUGAUUCUGUCUUUUUUUCUGGAUUCUUUUUUAGUUCAUGGAUUGAGUUACUGUGGUUGUCAAUUGUUGGAGGAACCUCCAUCACCUCAAAGUUGUCACACUCAGUGUCUGUCUGUCCCCAGUCAUUGAUCUCCUCAGACUCCUCUCUAUCCAUUUCUGUUUCAUCUUUUUCCAAAAUCUCUGUCCGCAUACUUUUGGUUUCAUUUUCCUGUUUCUUUAAACACAUUGGUUGUAACGUAGUUCUUAUAUUUCUCCUGUCAUACGUCCAUAUAAUAAAAAGCCAUUGCCUGUU